UAUUAGAAAGAAUACCAAUUGCGAAGGCAGCUUUCUGGAUCAUUACUGACACUGAGGAACGAAAGCAUGGGUAGCGAAGAGGAUUAGAUACCCUCGUAGUCCAUGCCGUAAACGAUGUGUGUUAGACGUUGGAAAUUUAUUUUCAGUGUCGCAGUGAAAGCGAUAAACACACCGCCUGGGGAGUACGACCGCAAGGUUAAAACUCAAAUGAAUUGACGGGGACCCGCACAAGUAGUGGAGCAUGUGGUUUAAUUCGAAGAUACGCGCAGAACCUUACCAACACUUGACAUGUUCGUCGCGACUUUAAGAGAUUAAAGUUUUCGGUUCGGCCGGACGAAACACAGGUGCUGCAUGGCUGUCGUCAGCUCGUGUCGUGAGAUGUUGGGUUAAGUCCCGCAACGAGCGCAACCCUCACUUUUAGUUGCCAUCAUUUAGUUGGGCACUCUGAAAGAACUGCCAGUGAUAAGCUGGAGGAAGGUGGGGAUGACGUCAAGUCCUCAUGGCCCUUACGUGUUGGGCUACACACGUGCUACAAUGGUAUCUACAACAGGAAGCAAGACGGCGACGUUAAGCAAAUCCUUAAAAGAUACCUCAGUUCGGAUUGCACUCUGCAACUCGAGUGCAUGAAGCUGGAAUUACUAGUAAUCGUGGAUCAGCGUGCCACGGUGAAUGCGUUCCCGGGCCUUGUACACACCGCCCA
rnacentral:rRNA from 1 species